rnacentral:rRNA from 1 species
GACGAACGCUGGCGGCGCGCCUAACACAUGCAAGUCGAACGAAGAACUUUAACUGAAACUUUUCGGAGCGGAAGAUAAAGUUACUUAGUGGCGAACGGGUGAGUAACACGUGAGCAACCUGCCUUCAAGAGGGGGAUAAUGUCUGGAAACGGACACUAAUACCGCAUAAAUCGUCUAAGCCGCAUGGCUAAGGACGGCAAAGGAGUAAUCCGCUUGAAGAUGGGCUCGCGUCUGAUUAGAUAGUUGGUGAGGUAACGGCUCACCAAGUCAACGAUCAGUAGCCGGACUGAGAGGUCGAUCGGCCACAUUGGGACUGAGACACGGCCCAGACUCCUACGGGAGGCAGCAGUGGGGGAUAUUGGUCAAUGGGGGAAACCCUGAACCAGCGACGCCGCGUGAGGGAAGAAGGUUUUCGGAUUGUAAACCUCUGUCGUUAGGGAAGAUAAUGACGGUACCUAACAAGAAAGCACCGGCUAACUACGUAG